rnacentral:rRNA from 1 species
GGUGAACGCUGGCGGCGUGCCUAAUAGAUGCGAGUCGAGCGCACAGACGAGGAGCUUGCUCCUCUGACGUUAGCGGCGGCCGGGUGAGUAAGACGUGGAUAACCUACCUAUACGCCUGGGAUCCCUUCGGGGCCCCGGAGCUAAUACCGGUUACUAUAUUGAACCGCCUGGUUCUAUAGCGACAGACGGUUUUGCUGUCCCCUAUAGAUGGUCCCGCGCCGGAUUAGCUAGUUGGUAAGGUAACGGCUUACCAAGGGAACGAUGGGUAGCCGACAGGAGAGGGCGACCGGCCACACUGGAGCUGAGACACGGUCCAGACUCCUACGGGAGGCGGCAGUGGGGAAUCUGCCGCGAUGGGCGAAAGCCUGACGGAGCAACGCCGCGUGAGUGAUGAAGGUCUUCGGAUCUGAAAACUCUGUUGUUAGGGAGGAACAAAGGUGUAAGUAACUAUGCGCGUCUUGACGGUACCUAAUCAGAAGGCCACGGCUAACUACUUG